ACUGAAUAGAUACCCGGGUAGUCCUGGCUGUAAACGGUGCACGUUUGCUGUAAGAGGAAUCGACCCCUUUUGUGGCGAAAGCUAAACGCGAUAAACGUGCCGCCUGGGGAGUACGGUCGCAAGAUUAAAACUCAAAGAAAUUGACGGGGGCCUGCACAAGCGGUGGAGUAUGUGGCUUAAAUUCGAUGCAACGCGAAGAACCUUACCUGGCCUUGACAUGCACGUAGUAGGAGCCUGAAAGGGUAACGACCCCGCAAGGGGAGCGUGCACAGGUGCUGCAUGGCUGUCGUCAGCUCGUGUCGUGAGAUGUUGGGUUAAGUCCCGCAACGAGCGCAACCCUUGUGUCCUGUUGCGACCCGGUCGAGAGACUGGAGCACUCUGGACAGACCGCCUCGCUUAAACGAGGAGGAAGGUGGGGAUGACGUCAAGUCAGGAUGGCCCUUACGGCCAGGGCUGCACACGUACUACAAUGCCCGGUACAGAGGGAAGCGAGACCGUCAGGUGGAGCAAAUCCUUUAAAACC
rnacentral:rRNA from 1 species